AUUGAACGCUGGCGGCAGGCCUAACACAUGCAAGUCGAACGGUAACAGGAAGCAGCUUGCUGCUUCGCUGACGAGUGGCGGACGGGUGAGUAAUGUCUGGGAAACUGCCUGAUGGAGGGGGAUAACUACUGGAAACGGUAGCUAAUACCGCAUAACGUCGCAAGACCAAAGAGGGGGACCUUAGGGCCUCUUGCCAUCGGAUGUGCCCAGAUGGGAUUAGCUAGUAGGUGGGGUAACGGCUCACCUAGGCGACGAUCCCUAGCUGGUCUGAGAGGAUGACAAGCAACAGGGAAAUUAAAACACGGUCAAGCCUCAAACGGGAGGAGGCAGGGGGAAAUAUGGAAAAAGGGGAGCAGGCGUGAUGCAGCCAGGCGGGGUGUAGAAAGAAGGCAUUGGGGUGAUAAAGUACUUUCAGGGGGGAGGAAGGGAGAAAAGUUAAUACCUUUGCUAAUUGACGUAACCAGAAGAAGAAGCACCGGCAAACCCCGUG
rnacentral:rRNA from 1 species